rnacentral:lncRNA from 1 species
GCGCAGGAACCGAGGCAGCGGGUGGAGCCCGAGCCGCGCGGCGGCGGCCAAUCGCGCAGUACCGGAGGAGGAGCCCCGAAGGGGGAAAAAGAAAGUGCGGCGGAAAGUAAGAGGCUCAGAGGGGAGGACUCGGCGGGUGAGGGGUCCCUGCGCUCCGCUCUGGACAGACCCGCCUGAAGAAGCAGUGUGGGGCGACUCUGCACCCAUCUCCUCUGCCUUUGCCGCGCCCUCUCUGCUUCCCAAGAAAGGAUGGGACUUCUGGGGUAUGUAAUGAGUCUCUGCAUCUUUGGGAUCCUGCAAAGCAAUGCCUCAGGUAAGUGAAUGGCUUUUGACAAUCUAUUAAAAUACAAAUCAUGCACUGGGUAAUAUAUCAACUCUUUGUGAGACUGAGUUUAAAAGAACAUGAUAUUGUUUCCAUUGUCUUUUGUGGCAGCACGUUUGACAGAAUCAUAAAGUUUUGGCAAUAGGAGGA